GUCAAUUAAAUCAUUCCUUUUAAUCUUGGUCUUAACUAAGUCAACAAUUACUACUGGUAGUUAACUUGUAUAGAGCAUUUUGUAUUGAGGCACAGCUUUGGGUGAUUUGCAUAAUAUGCUAUUAUACUCACAAUACUCACCUUACAAAUAUAGAAACUGAGACAUGAGAGAGCUCAUUCAUGCAACUUUUAACAACUGUUUAUGAGUGAGUUAGUGAGUGUCCUGGAAGAGUGUGCCCAUGGUCUGGGCUCCUCCACGGAGUGCCCUGCAGUUGUCUCAUGUGCCACUGUCCAGGUUGAGCUCAAUCAAGUGACCCCACCCCUCUUCACCGGGAUCCUCCUCCUUGACCAUUAUGUCACUGCCACCAUCUGCCAGGUCUCCCCAGGAGUCAUCCUGCACUCUUCUGUCACUUCUCAAAUCUAACUUGACACCAAGUCCUGGGGGCCCUUCUUCGGAAAGUUCUCCCCAGCCUAUGUUCUUUCUCCUGUUUGGGUCCUCACUGCUUCUCCUUUGCCUCUGCUCGGGUCUCAUCUGCUCUGAGGGGAUCUCCACCUAAGCCACCACCCAUUUUUCCAGAACCCACAUCAUAUACUCUCUCAACCCCAACCAAAACCUUCCCAUGGCGCAUUGAAUAACUUUGCAACCUGGCCACAGCCCGCCUCAUUCCCUCCACUCCCUAGCACUCCACCGUUGUACCCCAAAAUCACACUGCUUGCAGGCCAUUGCUGUUUUCUUUUCCUUUCCUUUCCUUUUUCCUUCCUUCUUUCCUUUCUGUUUU
rnacentral:lncRNA from 1 species